CUGCAGAUGUCUCAGCCAUAAGUAGUAAACCUUCUUCCAUGACUGAGGAGAGAGGCCAACCAGGCCAACCUCACUGAAAAGACAAAUGAGUUGGAACGGCUUCAGAGUUUGUCAAUGCAGAGUAAAGCAUGCCCUGCCGGAUGGAGCAGGUUCAGCUAUAGCUGCUAUCUUCUUUCAGAAAGAUCUGGUUCCUGGGAUGUGGCCAGAAAGGACUGCAGAGACAGAGGAGCAGAUCUGGUGGUUAUUGACAGCCUGGAGGAUCAGGUCCAAGGAGCUCUAAGAGAAGUUUCUAUCUGGGCGUUAUUCUCACUCUGAGCUUGCUGAGUGUUUUCCUUCUGGCUGGACUGAUCACUCUCAGUUUCUUCUGUGAGUUGCAUGUUUUUCGUCAAUACUUGCUCUACUGAUCAUCAGCCACCAUCAGCCAUAGUAAAAAGGCAAAUAUUUAAUUCAGUUCAAUACAAUUCAAUUCAAUUGUCACUUCUAAUAAAGGUUGACAAACAAGACUAACUA